UACGUAGGUGGCAAGCGUUGUCCGGAGUUAUUGGGCGUAAAGCGCGCGCAGGCGGUGCGGUAAGUCUCUGGUGAAAGCGCUCGGCUUAACUGGGCGAGGGCCGGGGAGACUGCCACGCUGGAGGGGAGCAGAGGCGAGUGGAAUUCCGGGUGUAGUGGUGAAAUGCGUAGAGAUCCGGAGGAACACCAGUGGCGAAGGCGGCGACCUGGUCCGAUACUGACGCUGAGGCGCGAAAGCGUGGGGAGCAAACAGG
rnacentral:rRNA from 1 species